GAUGAAGAACGCAGUGAAAUGCGAUACGUAAUGUGAAUUGCAGAAUUCAGUGAACCAUCGAGUCUUUGAACGCAAGUUGCGCCCGAAGCCAUUAGGCCGAGGGCACGCCUGCCUGGGCGUCACACGUCGUUGCCCCCCCAUCUACUCCUUCGGGAUUGCGGGGGGCGGAUGAUGGCCUCCCGUGCGCCUCGUCGCGCGGUUGGCAUAAAUGCCAAGUCCUCGGCGACGCACGCCACGACAAUCGGUGGUUGCGAAACCUCGGUUGCCCGUCGUGUGCGGUCGUCGCGCAUCGAGGGCUCGAAAAAAUUGCCGGGCUCCGGCUCGGCUUUCAACGCGACCCCAGGUCAGGCGGGGUUACCCGCUGAAUUUAAGCAUAUCAAUAAGCGGAGGA
rnacentral:misc_RNA from 1 species